CCCCGCUGCCCCCGGCCGCCGCCCAGCCGCUGUCAGACGGCGCGGUGGUGCUGGGGCCGGGCGUCGGAGUGAGCUCCGAAGUGUCCAGUCUUGGAAUCAUAGAAAAUGUAUACAGAUGAUGCUGCUCGUGAAGAAACAAAAAUCUAUUAAAACACCUCCAGUGCAUCAGUAAAAGUGCUGGAAAGAAAUGUGAGUUUUGACUGUUGCUAAGAAGAGAUGUGGCUGUGUACAUUGCACGGGUCCUCUCCAAGUGACAACUCACAGGCAGGGGAAAAGAGACAUCAUUUAGGAGUUGGACUAGAUGGCUUCCAGAGGUCCGUUGCAACCUCAACCAUUCCACAUUUCUGUGAUUAGAAGAGAUUUUAUCUAUCCACUUUGCUGUGGUUCUUACUCUGGUGGCUUUUGAGGAAGCAUUCUCUCCAGGUUUGUCCCACCUGGAACAUGUUGAAACAGCACGAGCAUAGAGAUUCAAGUUACCAAAAUCCCAAUGGUCAAAAAAAUGGCAGGUUCAGCUGCAGUUUAUGGAAACAGAUAUAAUUGUUAGGGUUCAGAGCUGGCAAUGAGCAGAGGAGCUGGCUUCCAACUCAGGAGGUCACUCAAACUUUGGGUUUGGACUGUCCAGUUUUCUCUGAGAAAUCAUGCCCAAACACUUCUGUGUGGUGCCAAAACCAGAAAAUAUGUAGGUCUCCUCACUGUAAAAAAUCAAACAAUUAUUACAGGAUCUGGAUAAUCUCCACAUGCACACAAUAGAAGAAGUUUAGGGAAAGUUUUGUUGAAAAGAGGAAAUUUUGUCUCAUUAAAUUUGGUGGCAAAAAAUUCCAAAUUCAAGCAUGAUUUCACCCUAUGUUACACUCUUGCCAUUGUGUAGAUUUUUGGUUAUAGAUAAGGAUCAGCCAGGGUUUAUAACUAAGUUUAUUUUGUAGUAAGUCUGUAGCAGCAAUUAAAGUUCCAAAACAGUUUUCACAUACUAGUAAUUUAAAGAAAAGUACAUCUCUGAAGAUGUAAUUUUCCAUUUUAAUCUCCAUCCAAAGAUAUUCUUUAACUUUGGGCAAAUUCCUGUCAAACAGUUUGAGUUAUAAUUGUAUGAAAAAAGAUACUCUGCCAGAUGUAAGAGAAAGAUGACUGCUGACAUUUUUAUUUCUUUUCUACAAGAUAAGCCAUGAGAUCUGACCUCUGAAGAACGGUGUAUAAGUAACCACUCAGGAACUUGUUCAUAAAUGGACUGGAAAAGUAAAGUGGAAAAAAAGCUUAAAUUAUUAAGCCUGAAUGUUGGGUAAUAAGAGUGAACAGUAGAAAUAUGGCAAUUAGAUAUUUAAAUUAUUUUUGAUUCUCAGCCUUCUGCCUGAACCAUACCUGAGACAGUAAAGCUAGUACAUAUGGAGCAGAUAUCAGAGCAUGGGUUAUUUCAACAUCCAGUGCAAUAAUUAUGGCUAUAUUCAGUAUCACAAAUCUCGAAAUUGCAUCAAGCAACUUAAAAAAUAAAUUAAUUAUACUAUCACAAGGCAAACUUGGAAGAAAGUAAUUAUUCUUAACAUAGAAUAGUUCUGAGUAAAGAAUUAAUUUAUUGAUUUAGUAGUGUAGAAUUUGAUUACUUAACGUAUAAAUUCUCCCAGGAAUAGAGUCCUGGGGCAUCCUGAGAGGAGUGACUGAAUAACUGGAGACCUUAACGUGUAGAGGUCUUUGUAGGGUGCUCAGUGUAUCGAGUAAAAGAAAUCAUUAAUCCAAGCUACCAUCUAGCUGUGUUUGCCAUCUUGACUACUCAUCACAAAAAUUUGUCAGACUUAUUCAGAACAAAAAAUACAGAUGUAAUUCCCCACAAGUCCCCAGAGGUGUUUUUCAGUAUGGUUAGUUAUAUAUGGAAGAAACAUCAACAUUUCCUUGAUGCCUGACAGCACAAAAUCCUCAAAUAAAUAGCUACAAUAUUGGGUCUCAUAGUGAAAUUUUUAUAAUGUGCCAUACAAUUUUUAAUAUCUACAACAUAUGCAAAGUAGGAUCAAUUUUCUUACACUAGCACAGCAAAUGCGCCUCUAAGAUCCAGUUAAUGGUAUUAAGGUGCACUGAUAUAUUAUUUUAUUUUCUGACUUUAUCUAUAUUAAAAACAAAAUAAACUGAGAUUUUUAUUCCUCCUUACACCUGUAGAAGUAAUUCUUUAUGUGGUCUGAAUGAAGAUAUGAUAAUGGAUCAUCUUAGUAGCAACGUAUCACUAUGAAUAUGCAUUUGUUUUUCACGAGAAGGAUAUUUUAGGAUCGGGGGGAUAGCACUAGUUCUUAAAAGUAGACUAAAAUUAAAGCUUCUGAGUCCCAGGUGGAGGCAUUAAGAAACUAAAAUACCUGAGUUGAGGAAACCCCCAGCUUUGUGAUCAUGGUUAGACCUUCCAUCUGUAACACUAGAUAUAGAAGGAAAAAUACAACAAUCUGUAUUGCUGUGGCUCCUGGAAAAGCUGAAAGUGUGGGUACCAGUUAUUUACUGGACAGCAUGAAACCACAAAAUAAAUUUAACAGUUUGGAGCCCUGAUCCUUCUCAUUUAUGUUUCUGUUUUGCACUGUCCUUAGAAAAAGCACAAGUCUAAAAAAAGCCAAGGAUAUAAUACCCUGAUUUCCACCAUCUACUUAGCCUUUGAUAGAAGUUUUCUUAUUGAUUUCAAUAACUUGAGCUGCAUAGAAUCAAUCUUGAUAUGCUUUGCUUUAUUGAGACUACUCCCAACCUUGAAGUUAAGCAUUAAGGCUCAGAUUCUCGUGGGUAUCUACAUGUUUAAUUAUUUUCCCACAUCAGAACUAGCAGAUAAAGAUGUGUUCCAAAUUCUUGGCCAUAAGGGCAUGACAGUUCCUAGACACUUGUUUCUGAACCAGGCAGCCUGCCAGGUGGAAGGCUUAUUUGCCUCAAAACUUCAAGAAUCCAGUGUGUCAGGCUGGCACAAUGAACCAAUCACUAAAUUCAGAUCACGUAAUACAUACAAGCAUGGUGUUUUCCUUUUGGUGAUGAAAACUACUGGAAUGUAAUACAACAUUUGAAAAAACAUCUCUGCCAGUGUGCUACAUUCUCUCUUUACACCAGCAGUGAGAAUUCCACGCUAAAAGUGAACUAAUUAUCUAAAAAAAAGAAAAAAGCAGCCAUCCGCAUGAAAAAUCUGACUUAAGAGAGUGAUGAGAAAUACUCUUUUUCAUGUGCGAUCUGAAAGCCACUUCUCUUUGCACAGUUUACUUUUGGCCUUCAGUCCUAGCAGAGGAUUUAAAUGAGUCGCCUUCCCUUUUUGGCUCUUUAAAUACGUUGCUUAAUUCCAUCAACAGAGGUCACUGCCGCUCUUUUCCUCUUUGGUGAAAGCAAGCUUUUUCCAGAGAUAAAACAGAACAACUAAUGCUCUCUACUAGCAGAGUUUGGUUUACCCUUUAG
ensembl:lncRNA